rnacentral:ncRNA from 12 species
GGAUCGUGAGGACGGAAAGACUUCCGUCGCCGGUGUGGAAAUCCAGGAGCUUGUCGACCUGGCACGGUUC